rnacentral:rRNA from 1 species
AUUGAACGCUGGCGGCAGGCCUAACACAUGCAAGUCGAGCGAGCGGCGGACGGGUGAGUAAUGUCGGGGAAACUGCCUGAUGGAGGGGGAUAACUACUGGAAACGGUAGGUAAUACCGCAUACCAUCCGAUGUGGCCACAUGGGAUUAGCUAGUAGGUGGGGUGACGGCCCACCUAGGCGACGAUCCCUAGCUGGUCUGAGAGGAUGACCGGCCACACUGGUACUGAGACACUGUCCUGACUCCUACGGGAGGCAGCAUUGGGGAAUCUUCCGCAAUGGUCGAAAGCCUGAUCCAGCCAUGCCGCGUGAGUGAAGAAGGCCUUCGGGUCGUAAUGCUCUUUCAGCGGAGAGGCGUUACCUAAAGAAGAAGCACCGGCUAACUCCGUGCCAGCAGCCGCGGUAAUAC